rnacentral:sRNA from 1 species
GACAGUGGAACGAAGGCUAAAAUCAUCACGUCCUGUGAUAACGCCUUCGUGACCAACAUCGGUGCUGUUGC